rnacentral:tRNA from 1 species
GUGGCUGUGGCUCAGUGGUAGAGCGCUUGCCUAGCAUGCGUGAGGCUCUGGGUUCGAUCCUCAGCACCACA